GUAUGAUCACUGUUUAAUUUGAUGUUCAUUAAUUCUUUUAAUUAGUACUAGAUAAUAUCGAGCUUAAUUGCCAUGCACGCACCGAUGGACGACACCGAGUUUCAGUUGUGCCUCUCAGAUGGACCAGAUGGAGGGACAGGUACCCCCUUGGGUAAAAUACUGAAAACCAAGGCGCCUUGGAGAUUUGGUCGUUCAUCAUAAUUAUGCUUCUUCAAUUGCUCUGGUAUCAUGAUCAUGGCCGUUGAAGAAAUUUCCUCCACGACCCUCACUGGCCUAGUCGCCGCUAAUAGAAGGAAGAGGAGAGACAAAACACAGAAGAAGAGAUGCCAUGAAAAGCAGUACUCAUGUCUAUAUUUGGAAGAUAUUGAUGACACCAUAUUGUUCCCGCGCGCUAGCUAGCUAGCUAGAGAAGAAUUUUUACCUAGCUGGGGGCGGGGUGUUAUAUAUAUAUAUAUAUUA
rnacentral:lncRNA from 1 species